GACGAACGCUGGCGGCGUGCCUAAUACAUGCAAGUCGAACGAGUUGCGGACGGGUGAGUAACACGUGGGAACCUACCCAUCAGAGGGGGAUAACACUUGGAAACAGGUGCUAAUACCGGAUACUGAUGGAUGGACCCGCGGUGCAUUAGCUAGUUGGUGGGGUAAAGGCUCACCUAGGCGACGAUCGCUAGCUGGUCUGAGAGGAUAGUCAGCCAAACGGGAACUAGGACACGGCCCGGACUCCUACGGUAGGCAGCAGUGGGGAAUAUUGCACAAUGGGCGAAAGCCGGAUGCAGACAUGCCGCGUGUAUGAAGAAGGCCUUAGGGUUGUAAAGUACUUUCAGCGGGGAGGCGUUACCCGCAGAAAAAGCACCGGCUAACUCCGUGCCAGCAGCCGCGGUAAUAC
rnacentral:rRNA from 1 species